GUAUUUUACUCCCAGCUGAACCCAGUCAGUAAUUUAAAGGUACCACCAUGUUUUUUAAAUGAAUGAAAAUGUUACAGUUAAUCCCAUCUUAGGCUAUCGUUUUACGCUGACAGAGUACUAGUGAGGGAUAAUAAAUGAAAUCAUGGGGGUAUCAUGGAUGAAACAGUAGGUAUACUCUGUUAUGUCCGUGGUACUGUUCAUGUCUAUAGGCAACGGUUACCACUUUCCAUCAGGUGGGUUAUCAGCUUGUAUACCAUUCUAAGUUGUAUAAAAAAUAUAUACUUAAUAAGCCAUUCGAUAUUUCGAGUAUACUAGGUGAAAUAAUAAUCGAUUAUUUGACAACCCUAAUCGGCAGGUGAACUUUAGUGUAUCAGGAAACCGCUUUUGUUUGUACUGCAUAGAUGCAGCUACAAAUAUGGUCAAGCUUGCACGCAUAUGGUCAACAGCCAUAACGGCGGUGUAUGCCAUCGAUAACAAUGUAGAAAUAGAGGAAUUACACUUACACACACAUCAUUACCGGGCAGCGUGUUAUCAUUGCUUGAAAUCUACGAGAUUUCUAAGUAACAAGUGGAAUAAAUGAUGAAAUCGUAUGAAUGUUGCGAGACGUAACUAUAUCGAGUGAAAGAGAUACGGAACAAACGAAUCGAUGCAACAAACUCAUAAAAACAAGAUAAAAAUGGAGCGAGGCGAGGCGCUGUGACGUAAAGCGCUGUACGCUCCCCGAAGAAGACUUCCGGAUGAAGUCGAAACAAUUGUCGGAAACGAAAGAAACACAGUGAAUUCAUUAAUUUCCCAUUAUAUAUGUAUAUAGAUAUCGAAGAACUAUGAACAUAAGUUAUAAAAAUAAUAAA